rnacentral:rRNA from 1 species
GACGAACGCUGGCGGCGUGCUUAACACAUGCAAGUCGAGCGGUAAGGCCCUUUCGGGGGUACACGAGCGGCGAACGGGUGAGUAACACGUGGGUGACCUGCCCUCAGCUCUGGGAUAAGCCUGGGAAACCGGGUCUAAUACUGGAUAUGACUCCAUGACGCAUGUUGUGGGGUGGAAAGCCUUGUGCGGCUGAGGAUGGGCCCGCGGCCUAUCAGCUUGUUGGUGGGGGUGANGGCCUACCAAGGCGACGACGGGUAGCCGGCCUGAGAGGGCGACCGGCCACACUGGGACUGAGACACGGCCCAGACUCCUACGGGAGGCAGCAGUGGGGAAGUCUUGCGCAAUGGGCGAAAGCCUGACGCAGCGACGCCGCGUGAGGGAUGACGGCC